rnacentral:rRNA from 1 species
AACGAACGCUGGCGGCAUGCCUAACACACGCAAGUCGAACGAGAUCUUCGGGUCUAGUGGCGCACGGGUGCGUAACGCGUGGGAAUCUGCCCUUUGGUUCGGAAUAACAGUUGGAAACGACUGCUAAUACCGGAUGAUGACGAAAGUCCAAAGAUUUAUCGCCAGAGGAUGAGCCCGCGUAGGAUUAGCUAGUUGGUGUGGUAAAGGCGCACCAAGGCGACGAUCCUUAGCUGGUCUGAGAGGAUGAUCAGCCACACUGGGACUGAGACACGGCCCAGACUCCUACGGGAGGCAGCAGUGGGGAAUAUUGGACAAUGGGCGAAAGCCUGAUCCAGCAAUGCCGCGUGAGUGAUGAAGGCCUUAGGGUUGUAAAGCUCUUUUACCCGGGAUGAUAAUGACAGUACAUGGAGAAUAAGCUCCGGCUAACUCCGUGCCAGCCGCCGCGGUAA